UACAAAAAGACUAGUACAUAACCCGACGUUUAUUUUGUUUUUAAAAAAAAGUCUUAGCACCGUAGAAUAGUUACUACAAUGUCGCGCUAACACGUGUGUAAAACCAAAAGCCAACUAAAUUGGGCCUUCUGGUUGAGAAUCAACAAUCCCACAUCGUUUAGUUACACAAAGCGAUCUAUGUUUAUAACAAAGAGUGAGAGUACAAGGCUCGUCCCUUCGGGGACAUCUGAUAAAAUUGGAACGAUACAGAGAAGAUUAGCAUGGCCCCUGCGCAAGGAUGACACGCAUAAAUCGAGAAAUGGUCCAAACUUUUUUCGCUCCCCAAACCCCAUGUGUGAAUUCUUCCAUGGCUUCCACUGUCUUCUUCGUUCUGCACAAAGAAGUUGCACAGGGAUUGCUGCUAGGACCUCCAUCAGCAUCAUGUGGGACCUGUGAAUUGCUCUUAGACUAGAAUAGAACUUCAUCAGGUGAAUUUCAAUCAUUUUGAAACUAUAAUCUCCUUUUUAUGAAGUUUGAUUGUACAAAAGCACACAAUUCUUUUCAUUUAAAAUAGGGGUAAAAAUGCAGUGUUACAAAUCAAAACUUUGUUCAAUCAAAUCAUGACCCAAAUAGCAACUCCAAUUUGCACCCUUGGCCUUAGUCCAGAGAAAGGGCAAAUGGUGAUAAUAUCAAUAGCAGCCCGUAAAAAUGUAUGAUCAGUUCUUUGGUUCUCAUUGAUGCUAACCAAAUUGAUUGGAGUUACACUUGAGUCUGCCAUGAAUGUUAUGAGCGAUUACAGCCAUUUACAUAGCUUAUCAUUGUAAAAUUCAAAAUGGUCGUCAUUUCUCAGCUUGGAUCCAUACCAUGAAAAUUUUCAAAAUACAAGUCAUUAUGGUAGUGGUGGUCAGGAUUCCAGAGGUAGCAUUUGAGUGGAUCUCUCAAUUACUGAUCUGCCUUCAGGAACCGAGUAGCGUUUGGAGUGUAUGUAUUUCACUGUCCCUAUGACAGAACAUUGCUGCUGUGGAGAUUGCAUUGACUUGGCUCUUCAUUUAGUAGCAUCACUCAUUGGAGUUUAACAAAAUGCUGCCCCACCUGAAAUAUGCAGGUUACCUGCCAUUGAAUUUGCUAAUUUUUGUAUUAAAUGACCACUUAUGUAAUUUUAAAACUUUGGGAAAGGAUCCCCUCCAAUUCCCUUCAAUUUUUAGAUAGAUGAGAGACCUUGCAUCUAAAAAAUCCAAAGGUCUUUAAAAUCACACAAGAUCAAAUAAAUGCCACUUGUCAUAAAUUUGACUAAAAAUUGGAAGGAAUUGGAGGAUUUAGAUGGGAGGGGAUCUUUCCUCACAGAGUUUUGUUCAUUAUCUAAACAUUUGAUUUGGAAUUUCUUGUUUGAUGGUGUUUUUUGCUGCUUUAGAUAGUCAUUAUAAGCUCCGGAUGAAUUGGUGCCACUUGUAGUACCAGUGGUUUUAGCGUGUGAACUCCAUUUGGACAGAUAUAAGUUUACAGUUUAAAGUUCAAACCAACUCUAUAGGCUAGAAGUUUGUUAGUGCAAACAUUUUAAGAGGCUGAUGCAGAGCAACAUUGACAAAGCUGAGGAAAUUGAUUGGGUAAUUUUUAUAGAAAAGGAACAAGUGAUUGGGUAAUUUUUAUAGAAAAGGAACAAGUGAAUAGAUAGACGAAAUUAAUGUUCAGCUAUACAAUACUACGUGUUUAGUUUGAAGAAAAUUUUGAAGUAGAUUUUCUUAUUCAGUUCAUGAUGCUUACUAUACUCAUGAAACAAAGGAGCCUCUCAAUAUGCUUUGAAAUGGAGAGAGUUCUUUUCAUGGGAAAGAUGUAGUAGUUAAUAGAUCUAAAGGUAAGUAUAGUCACGUCAUUUUGAAAUCAGUAAAUCAGUUAUCAUUCCUUAUUUGGUGGAAUGAAAUAUUAAAUUAGAAAAAUGCUACGUUUACAACAUUUUUCACAACAAAUCUUUGGUGGUAAAUUGUUAUUAAUUCAAUUUGAACCUAGCACUGAAAAGUGAUAACUUGCCGCUUGGGAUUUGUUGUGAAAAUGUUGUAAACAUAACAUUUCUCUUUAAAUUAUGUGGGGCUCAUGUACACUAUUAGAUUCACUAAAUCAGAACCAUGAAAUGAGGCAAAUAAAGAGCAUCCUGAUAUGCUGAUGAA